rnacentral:piRNA from 1 species
AGUGGAGGGCCUGGCUCUGAACU